rnacentral:lncRNA from 1 species
AUUGGCUAGGGGAGGAAAGAGAGUAACCUGAGUCACAUUCACAGAGGUAUAACCUUCAAGGAUUCUUAUGAUGUAGAGCAUUAUUGUUCAUCUUUAAUCCUAGUUUUCACAACCAACAUAUUAGCCUUACUUUUCAGUAUUCACUUGGCCAAAUGUAUAAACAACAGUGCUCAUAACUAGUAUGUAUUACUGACCUUAUUAUGAAAUAGAAUUCUACGGAUAACAUUUUAUCUAUUUUGAGCUUUUGAUUAUUUAGUUAAAUGCUCUGUUCUGUGCACUGGAUAAAUUUGAAUUUCAGUGGUAUUUGAUUUAUGGUAGAAUGAAUUACUGUUCCUGAUAAUAGGACUAAACACCACAGCUUGCUUGUGAUUUCAUCCUGUCUCCCAAUGGAGUAGAUAGCGCCUCUUUCUCCCCUCAGUGACCCUGAGUUUGGCCCUAUGACUUCCCGUGGCCAGUGGAAUGUUAGUGGACAUGAUACAAGCCCAGGUUUCAUAGGCAUUUACGUAAUUGGGUUUGGCUUUUGUACCUAAGACGUUUGCCAGGUGAAAGCUUCCCCUGAAAAA